GUAAGUCCCGCCGUGUGGGCUGGCCAUCCAAGGUAAAUCUCCCCAUAGGGGAGUGCCAGCCCAUUCCCGCAAGGGAAGAUGGCGGGGUAGGAGGA
rnacentral:ncRNA from 1 species